UUUACUCUUUGCUCACCCCAGUUCUCUCUCCUCAAAAUCACUUUAACUCCUCUUCGCUUUGCUCUUUGUUACUCUUUGUGUAAAAAUUAUAAUUCCUCCACCCCUCUCUUUACCGAAUCUCUUGUUUCUUUCUCUUUCUUCUACUUGAUUUUUAGUUCUCACCAAUUUGAAGGCAAACAUGUAAACUUUUGAAGAAGGUAGUUUAAUCAACAAAUUGGUCAAGAAAUUUUGGGACUUAUAUGGCUUCCACGGCCCACGGUGGUGGCUCUUCUGUCGGAGCUACAACGGGAGUGGUUUUGUGGAGUUUGUAUGGGAAUUGGUAUAUGAAAUUUUUAACAACCUAUCAGCUUUGAGAUCUGCCUGGUCCGGAGAGCAACGGUGGAGCCAUGGUUUUGAUUGGAAAUCUGUAGGGAACCCAUCUAAAGUUUCCUCUUAAGGGUCAUUCUUGGAUAGUCUAAUGGGAAAUAAGGAUACUUCAUAAUUGUAUAAAUUAAGGUUGAAGUAAGAUUUCAUCAAUUGAAGAGAGGCUUGUAAAAUGUUUAAGAAGGUAGUAGCUAGGACUUAUUCAAAUAUCUAGGAAACGGGAGAUAGUUACAAAAGAUAUAGAGAAUAAGCUGGCAGAGCCCAACCACCUAACAAUGCACCAGCCUAAAGGAUGGGAAUUCUCUAGCAUCCAAAGCCAAACAGUCGCGGAUCCCCUGUAGAAGGUGAGACAGAGAGUCAAAGGCCAUACUCGGGUACCCUUGCAGAGCAGCUAACUUAUCAGCAACCAUAUUUGCCUCACGGAAGAUGUUCUGAAAUGAAAGAGACACCUGUUCCAGAAGUUUGCGAAUCUUUCUCAACACAUUGCAGUACGACCAACCUCCCAGGGCCGAUGAUUUGACUAGCGACACCAAAAGUGCUGAGUCCACUUCCACCAAGACCCCCCGUAGCCCCCUUGCAGCACACAGUCACAACCCCUCUAGUGCAGCUAACGUCUCAGCCUGCAAGACCCCCUUCUCCCCAAACUCCUUGUAGAAAGCGAAUAUAAGUCUACCAUUCGAGUCUCUUAGUGCUGUUGACCACACUAGCCCUCCCGUUGACCACACUAGCAUCCGUAUUUAACUUGUACCGCUGAGUAGGGGGUUUCAUCCAUGUUACCACCGCUGUCUGCCGUGUACGAGUCACCGAAGAUGCCAAGCUCGCCCAAUCGCUAUCCAGAUCACCAUAGAACUGUGCCUUCUCAAGUUUCUUUGCUCUUCCCAAGUCAUAUAUGAAAUUAACCACCUCCCGGAUGACCCUCCGAGCCAAAAACUCUUGCCCUUCAAACCUUGCCUUAUUUCAUCCCUGCCAGAGGAAGCAUGAUACAAAUAUCGGGAGGAUACAUCUGAUAUGGUGUGUCGGGAUGCGAGGCACUGAUGUGCCCCACUUCUUCCAUAGAAGUUGAAGAUCAUCAAGCGGUAAGCGAAGCAUGCCAAACAUAGUACCAAAGUGCCCACAAAUCUCCUUUGCCACCGGACCACUGACAAACAGGUGGGGCACCGACUCCUCCUCCUCCAGACAACAAGAGCAUCUGGACACCAUGGCCAGCCCCUUUCUGCGGAGCACCGAAUCUAAGGUGACAAAGUUAUUCAACAGUCUCCAAGCAAAUAUAGACAUUUUCAGCGGAACACCCCUAUUCCAGACCAUACCAUGCAUUGAGAAGGCACCUCAACGUUGUCGACAUAGCUCCCAUGUUGAGAUUAGCGAGAAACACCCCGUAGCCGACCCCGUCCACAUGAUCCGAUCCUGCCCAUCAAGGUCGAAUGGAACCUCCACAAUCACAUCCACGAGGUGGCACGGAAGCCAUUGCAGAAGACGGUCCCUGUUCCACCCUUCUCGACCUAAGAAUUCCGCCACCAAGAAAUGAGGCUUGUCCCUAUGUGCUGGCAACAAAGAACUUAAGGGUCCAAGCUCACACCAAGUGUCUAGCCAAAAGUCCACCAUACCCGGACCUAGGCUCCAUGUAAUGUGAGCAUCAGCCAUCUCCCGUAUACCAAUUAGGUGUUUCCAUGUCCCCGUCGGUCGUGCUACUUCCACCUGGAGCGGAUGCUGGUCCCCGACAUAUUUAGAGAACAUAAAGUCCGACUAGAUGAUUUUACUUGGCUUUAUAGGCUGCAAUAUUUUUAUUAUUCUUAAAUAUUCUUGAUUUUGCUGUCUCAUUUAAUCAAAUUGAUUUGUUUUAAAGUUUGAUAGGCUUAGACACUAAAUUGCUUUAAAAAGCAUUUUUUUGGGUUGGUAAAUUUCCUUUAAAAAACUACCUUUAGGUAGCUUUACUGUUGUAAUAUUCCAAAAGUAAUUUGUGUCUUCUA